rnacentral:rRNA from 1 species
CUACGGGCCGCUCCAGUGGGGAAUAUUGGGCAAUGGGCGAAAGCCUGACCCAGCAACGCCGCGUGAAGGAAGAAGGUUUUCGGAUCGUAAACUUCUAUCCUAGGUGAAGAUAAUGACGGUAGCCUAGAAGGAAGCCCCGGCUAACUACGUGCCAGCAGCCGCGGUAAUACGUAGGGGGCAAGCGUUGUCCGGAAUGAUUGGGCGUAAAGGGCGCGUAGGCGGCCAUGUAAGUCCGAUGUGAAAGUCCUGCUUUUAAGGUGGGAAUUGCAUUGGAAACUGUGUGGCUUGAGUGCAGGAGAGGUAAGCGGAAUUCCCGGUGUAGCGGUGAAAUGCGUAGAGAUCGGGAGGAACACCAGUGGCGAAGGCGGCUUACUGGACUGUAACUGACGCUGAGGCGCGAAAGUGUGGGGAGCAAACAGGAUUAGAUACCCUGGUAGUC